rnacentral:snoRNA from 1 species
GCCGGAAGAAGAUGAGAAUCAUUCACAAUCAGUUAUCCCUGUCUUAACAAUUAUGUCGAGAUAUAACCAGAUUCUGAUUCCUCC